GCUAAACGCGAAGAACCUUACCAAGGCUUGACAUAUACGGUCUAUCCCUAGAGAUAGGGAGUGCUUCGGCGCCGUAUACAGGUGGUGCAUGGUUGUCGUCAGCUCGUGUCGUGAGAUGUUGGGUUAAGUCCCGCAACGAGCGCAACCCUCGUCCUAUGUUGCCAGCGGGUAAUGCCCGGGGACUCAUAGGAGACUGCCGGGGUCAACUCGGAGGAAGGUGGGGAUGACGUCAAAUCAUCAUGCCCCUUAUGUCUUGGGCUUCACGCAUGCUACAAUGGCCGGUACAGAGGGCUGCGAUACCGUAAGGUGGAGCGAAUCCCAAAAAGCCGGUCUCAGUUCGGAUUGAGGUCUGCAACUCGACCUCAUGAAGUCGGAGUCGCUAGUAAUCGCAAAUCAGCAUGUUGCGGUGAAUACGUUCCCGGGUCUUGUACACACCG
rnacentral:rRNA from 1 species